rnacentral:lncRNA from 1 species
UGAAAUACUAGUAAUUGAUAUCGUGUACUUACUCUCCAUAUGAGUAUACAUGUUGGAUCAAUGGAACUAGAAGUAUUAAAGAUGAUGUUCACUUGACUUAAAUUAACAGUAUACUCUCCAUAUGAGUUGGGUCUGUUUUAAUUAUUAGAGUAAAUAAUCUGGCAUUGCAUAUGUAUGUUGCAUGAAUAGUUCUUUUCCCAUCG